CGUAAAAUAGCAGCAGCGUAUCGCGUAUAACCAAUAAUAUCGUUCUAUUCUGUAAGAACGUUGAACAGAAAUACUAAACAUUGCAUUUCAUUGGAUACGCGUGCAUCUGUUACGCAAAUUUUUCAUCCAUGUGAAUUAAAGAAAAUAAAUUGCGCGUAAAUGCACACAUGUAUGUAUAUAUAUGUAUUAUGUACGCUUAUACGCUAUUGUAUUAUAUACGCUAGCCUAAAAAUGAAUUUCGAAGUGUUUUUAUAUUCUCUUAUUUCUAUAUAUAAAAAUAGAAUAUCUAAUUGUAAAAGUGGUAAAAGAAUAUCAAUUAUUAAAUUAAAAAAGUUAAUUGCACUUGUUUUGUUAUAUGGAGAAAAUCAAGUAAUGAAACGGAGAUAUUGGGUUUAUCCCAUUUUUUCUACUAAAAAUAGAAAAUUGUACGGAGCAAGUGAGACAUUAAUAAAAGAAUUAUAUUUUCAUAAUGAUGAAAAAUUCAUCAAUUAUUUUCGCAUGACAGUAGAAAUAUAUGAGAAGUUAUUGAAUGCUGUGGGACCACAUAUAAAAAAACAGAAUUGUGUUCGAGACCCAAUAUCGCCAAAUACACGUUUAGAAAUAUGUCUUCGUUAUUUAGCUAGUGGAGAUAGCAUGAAAUCUCUUUCCUACGCAUUUCGCGUAGGAUGUAGUACCGUUUCAAAAAUAGUGUUAGAAACUUGUGAAGCAAUUUAAAACGUGUUGAAACCUAAAGUUUUUCCAAAAUUUAACAAUAAUGUAUGGAAACAUAUAUCAAGUGAAUAUGAAAAAAAUUGGAAUUUUCCACACUGCAUAGGCGCUUUAGAUGGAAAACAUGUCAUAAUUCAGGCUCCGCUCAACAGUGGAUCUAUUUAUUACACUUAUAAAGGUCGACACAGCUUGAAUUUGCUUGCACUUUGUGAUGCACAUUAUCGAUUUACUUAUGUCGACAUUGGAGCAGCUGGACGACAAAGUGAUGGCGGAGUAUUCCAAAAUAGCAAGUUGUAUGCUGCUUUGGAAAACAAUGCUCUACAAAUUCCGUUACCAGAAAGUGUUGGUGUCAGAGGUCCUAUAUUACCAUAUAUUGAGUCGAGCAAGACGUCUCAUAGAAAGUUCUUUUGGAAUAUUGACUGCAAGAUGGCGAGUGUAUAGAAAACCGAUUAUUGCAUCUAUGAAUUUAAGUAGAAAAAUUGUACAAGCAACAUGUUGUUUACAUAACUUUAUAAUUAAUCAUGAAGGUAAAAAUCGACAUUAUUCUUCUAUAACAUCAGCCGAUCUUGAAGUUGCAUGUGAAGGUUUUCAAGAUUUUGUACAUGAAAAAUAUUCUUAUCGCAAAUCUGCAGAAAUUAUAAGAAAUAUGUUUGCUGAAUAUUUUCAAGGAGAUGGUGCAGUUAUAUGGCAGUGGGAAAAGGCACUCCGCAAUGAAUUUUAAAUUGUUUUGUUUUUUAUAAAUAUAUAAAUGUGUGUUAUACUUUCUUGCUUAAUUGACUUUUAAAAUAAUUGACGAAUAACUGAAUGUUUCAUCAUUAUAGAAAUUCUUUUGAUAAUGUCUCAUUUACUCUAAUUUUCUACUUUUUAGUAAAAAGAAUGAAAUAAACCCAAU